rnacentral:rRNA from 1 species
AAUAAUUUAUUUGAUGGUUUCUUACUACAUGGAUAACUGUAGUAAUUCUAGAGCUAAUACAUGCGUAAAGUCCCGACUCUCGCGGGGAGGGAUGUAUUUAUUAGAUAAAAAACCAAUGCGGGCUCUGCCCGGUUUUGUGGUGAAUCAUAGUAACUUUUCGAAUCGCAUGGCUUCACGCCGGCGAUAGUUCAUUCAAAUUUCUGCCCUAUCAGCUUUCGACGGUAGUGUAGUGGACUACCGUGGCGUUAACGGGUAACGGAGAAUUAGGGUUCGAUUCCGGAGAGGGAGCCUGAGAAACGGCUACCACA